rnacentral:rRNA from 1 species
CGAACGGGUGUAAUACAUCGGAACGUGUCCGCUCGUGGGGGACAACCAGCCGAAAGGUUGGCUAAUACCGCAUGAGUUCUACGGAAGAAAGAGGGGGACCCGCAAGGGCCUCUCGCGAGCGGAGCGGCCGAUGACUGAUUAGCCUGUUGGUGAGGUAACGGCUCACCAAAGCAACGAUCAGUAGCUGGUCUGAGAGGACGACCAGCCACACUGGGACUGAGACACGGCCCAGACUCCUACGGGAGGCAGCAG